GGUAAUACUAAAUUAUCAUCGGUAAAUCGCAAUAAACGGAAGGCCAUAACUUAUCACGAUUCCCAUAUAUUUGUUUCAUUGAUUAAUUUCCUACUAAAAUUAUAUAUACCCUUGAUUGGUUAUUACUAAUGUACUAAUUCUUAUUUUCUAGAAACUUCGAACCUAUUCAUUUUCAAUCAUGUCAGUACAAAAACAUCGAAGGUAAUAAAUAUUACAACCUGGUCCAUAGAACACCUAGCGACAACUUGAUGUCAUUGCCCCUCCCUUCCUGGAGCCAUGCAAACUUUUUAUAGUAGACAGUCAGAAAUUCGUCGUGCUAAGGCCCCGUCAUUGAUGAAGAGACGUAGAUCAAAAGGAUCAAAGCUGAUAAGACACAAAGAAAGACAAAUCAAGACCGGAUCUAAACAAAUCCAUCAUAAUCCAGCACCAACUGAAUCUCAUGAUAUCCGACGAAGACACGCAUCCGCACGCCUUUUGACAAUGCUAGACACACCAACAAGAAGCGAUAGAACUAGAAAGACAUUAUUCCUAUAGAGGGACGCAGCCGACGCCAAACAACCCCAACCAAGACGUCGAAACUAACAAGAAGGCCUUGAUUAGUUAUUACAUUAUAUAUAGCAAUAAACGGAAG
rnacentral:lncRNA from 1 species